CGGAGCGGCCGAGGCGGUCGCCGGCGUUCUCUGGUAACGCGGGAGGAAAGUCCGAGCUUCACAGGGCAGGGUGCUGGCUAACGGCCAGUCGGGGUGACCCGAAGGAAAGUGCCACAGAAAGCAGACCGCCCGCGGUUCCUCCGGGACCGCGGGUAAGGGUGAAAGGGUGCGGUAAGAGCGCACCGCUCCUCCGGUGACGGAGGGGGCACGGCAAACCCCACCCGAAGCAAGACCAGAUAGGGAUCGCGUGGCCCGCGCAAUGAUCCCGGGUUGGUCGCUCGAGCCCGCCGGCAACGACGGGCCUAGAGGAAUGGCCGCCACCGGCGGAGGGCAACCGAAGCCGGUACAGAACUCGGCUUAUCGGCCGCUCCGACGA
rnacentral:RNase_P_RNA from 1 species